CAGGAGGGUCCAGACACUGCAGCCGUUCGGCUACCCAAGGCCAGAGGACCGCAGCACCCCCACUGCAGCCCCCGGAAGCAGCAUGGGGCUGGAGGGGCCCAGCAGGGCCAGGCAGCCCCCCGCGCUGGCGAGGAAAGAUCCAAGGAGCAGGCAGCGGAAGAGGGGCCCUGGGCCCACGGGCUAUCUACACCAGCUCCAGCAGUGAGGGGCAGCUGGAGCUAGGCCAAGCAGCACAGGUGAAGGGAAGGAGCAGCCCUUGCAGCCAACACUAACCUGGGCCUGAGACCGGAGCCAGCCUGCACAAGCAGGCAGCCUCCCCCCCUUUGGCCUGGCUGGGGGCAGCAUGGAGGGCAGCUGCAGGACUCAGCACCAGAGCUGGCCUCCUGGGGGGCCCAAGUCCCCCUCACCCAGGGGAGCCCUCCCAGCAGGUGUGGCCCUUGGCCAAGCAAAACACUGGACAUUGAUUAGAGCGGGGCAGCAUGUGCAAUAAAAGCCGGAGCAGCCAGG